rnacentral:lncRNA from 1 species
GGGGGGCGUGUCCCUGCCCUGCACAGCCGGCCCUCACCACCCAGGACCCUGCACGCAUCACCAUCCCCGGGGUUCCAGUGGGCCUGGGCGGGAAGCUGCUCUCAGGGCCUCUGAGAGAGGAGAGCAAGGGGGAAGGCCAAAAGGAAGUCAAAAGAUCAGUUUAAAAAUAGCCCUCCUCCGUGUCAGCCAGGAGGAGGGGCUUGGGGAGGAGCCAGGUUCUGAUGGUGGUGGCUCAGGGCAACCUCGGAAAGGCCUGAAAAGCGAAUUGGCAGAGGCCCAUCUGGGAGCACACCCCAUGUGCUUAUCAGCCUGAGCAAGCCACGGCCAAAACCCGGUCUUCGCAGAGACUUCCGGCCAGCCAGCAUCUGUUUCCUCUCCUAUAUUUAAACAACCAGACCAAUGUGGCCUGUGGGGUGUGUCUCCAAAGAAGAGAAUCAGAAAAGAAUCAGAAAGAUGCUGGCCAUGGGGCUCUAGAAAUCCAGCUGCCUUCUCCCGGUUUCUGGAUGCGCAACAGCCCCAUUGUGGGUGGAGAAAAACGCACUGAAGCUUUUCUGAAAGCAUAUUUGAACGUGGACCUCCGGUGCAUAGAUUAGCAGCCAGCUCCCAGCCAAGGCACCCCCUCCUCUCCUCUCCGUCUUUGCAAGAGAAUUCAGUUCCAUUUAAGUCCAGGGGACAUGGCAAAAACAACACUCCAAACACCACUUCCAUUUUUGGCAAUGGGAUCCUUCAAACUGAGAAAUCGCCCUUCAGCUCGGAAGUCCUUUGGAUUCUCUCUGUACCUCAUACAUCAGUUCCGUCUGCUCACUUCAGAGGGAAGGAAUAAAGCCUGAGAAGUUGAGGCUCAUUUUCUAAGUUGUUUUAUAGAAGCAAGAAUGCUAAUAUCAGAAAAAACAAAAACAGAGUCACUGAUUUUUAACACUGGAAGGAUGUCAGCUAGCCAUCAAUCACAUGCUGCACUUUUUGGAUGAGGACACUAAGGCCAAAGGGGCUAAGGGCCCAAGCUGCACUUCGAGAGUAUCUAUCCCCAGGACAAGCCAUCUUAGGACCCCAGAGAGGCUGAGAGCCAUGCCCUUGUUUCCCCUACUUACUUGCACUAUUAACUUCCUAUUAACCCU